AAACUCACCAGGUCAGGACACGGUAAGGAUUGACGGACUGAAGGCUCUUUCUCGAUUCCGUGGAAAGUGGUGCAUGGCCGUUUUUGGUUGGUGUAUCGAUCCGUCUGGUUAAUUCCGUUAACGAACGAGACCUCGGCACUCCGAAUAGCGCGGCGGACGUCGCGGCCUCCGGGCCGUCUUCCGCACGAGCUUCUUAGAGGGACCGUCCCCCGCCGGGGAAGGAGGUGCGAGGCAACGACAGGUCUGUGAUGCCCUUAGAUGUUCUGGGCCGCACGCGCAUUACACUGACGCGUCCAACGGGUGACUCCCGACCCGAAGGGGCCGGGGAAUCCGCAAGGCGCGUCGUGAUGGGGAUUGAACGUUGCAAUUGUUGUUCACGAACGAGGAAUUCCUAGUAGGCGCGGGUCAUCAACCCGCGCCGAUUACGUCCCUGCCCUUUGUACAC
rnacentral:rRNA from 1 species